rnacentral:snoRNA from 1 species
CUCUGUGAUGAUCAAGCUUUCGAGCCACUGUGUCUGGGCCACUGAAUGUCCGUGAUGGAAUUGAGGAUCUGAGUAG